CCUACGGGAGGCAGCAGUGGGGAAUAUUGCACAAUGGGGGAAACCCUGAUGCAGCGACGCCGCGUGCGUGAAGAAGUAUUUCGGUAUGUAAAGCGCUAUCAGCAGGGAAGAAGAAAGACGGUACCUGACUAAGAAGCCCCGGCUAUCUACGUGCCAGCAGCCGCGGUAAUACGUAGGGGGCAAGCGUUAUCCGGAUUUACUGGGUGGAAAGGGGGCGUAGACGGCUGUGCAAGUCUGAAGUGAAAGCCCAGGGCUCAACCCUGGGACUGCUUUGGAAACUGUGGAGCUAGAGUGCGGGAGAGGUAAGUGGAAUUCCUAGUGUAGCGGUGAAAUGCGUAGAUAUUAGGAGGAACACCAGUGGCGAAGGCGGCUUACUGGACAGUAACUGACGUUGAGGGUCGAAAGCGUGGGGAGCAAACAGGAUUAGAUACCCGAGUAGUC
rnacentral:rRNA from 1 species